CGAAAGCCUGACGGAGCAAUACCGCGUGAGGGACGAAGGUCUUUGGAUCGUAAACCUCUUUUCUCAGGGAAGAAGUUCUGACGGUACCUGAGGAAUAAGCCUCGGCUAACUCCGUGCCAGCAGCCGCGGUAAUACGGAGGAGGCAAGCGUUAUCCGGAUUUAUUGGGCGUAAAGAGUCCGUAGGUGGUUCAUCAAGUCUGCUGUUAAAGCGUGCAGCUCAACUGCAUAUAGGCAGUGGAAACUGUUGAACUAGAGUAUGGUAGGGGUAGGGGGAAUUCCCAGUGUAGCGGUGAAAUGCGUAGAGAUUGGGAAGAACACCGGUGGCGAAAGCGCCCUACUGGGCCAUAACUGACACUGAGGGACGAAAGCUAGGGUAGCG
rnacentral:rRNA from 1 species